rnacentral:rRNA from 1 species
UCUCCAUGUCUUCUUGAACAGCAGUGCACAAAACACCAUCCAGAGCCCCACCACAAAUCCCAGCACAAGACCAAAGUGAAACGUCAGUGGAUCAAAUUCUUGGUUACUGCUUCUGAGAUCGCCAUGGAUGAAAGGAUCAUUUCCUGAACAAUUCUUGUGGACAGGAGGCCCACAAAGUCCACUGUUGCCGAUGUAUAUAAGUGACUGGUUGUCCAAAUUGAGGAUGUCAAGUUGGGGGCCAGAUGGUAUCCUUCCAGACAAACUGUUGUAAGACAGGUUCAUGUAGCUCAGAGAUGUCAGAUUUGACAAGCUCGAUGGGAUUUCACCGGAAAGCUUGUUCUGAGAGAGAUCGAGAGAUACCAGUGACUGCAUGGCGCCAAUCAUGCUUGGAAUUUGUCCACUCAAUUGGUUCGAUGAUAAAUUCAAAUUCAUUAGUGCAGCAAGCGAAGUGAUGUCUGUAGGAAUUUCACCAGUCAAGGAGUUGCAUGAUAAAUCAAUGCUCACAAAAUAGGCAAGUGUUCCAUGAUAUAUAAGUUGCUGCCCUUUUGUAUUUACUGACAAUAUUUGUCCUAAGCGAUCAGCUU